UUGAAUGAACUUGGUGUGGUUGUUGCUGGCCCUCAUCGAGGGCAUGUGCACACCCGCCAUCCUCAUCUUUCCACCUGUGCACCCCUUGUAGACCUGGAUAAGACUUUCCGAGGCAACUCGGUCGAGAAGAAUGCUUCGCUCUCUGGGCCGGCUUUCUUUGCAUUUCCAGGCCUAUGUUUUUUCAUAUACCCCUAUAAUAUGUAACAGAAUGAAUCAUUGGCACCUUGUGCCUAUAAAAUCUAUA
rnacentral:misc_RNA from 1 species